rnacentral:rRNA from 1 species
CCUACGGGAGGCAGCAGUGGGGAAUAUUGCACAAUGGGCGAAACCCUGAUGCAGCAACGCCGCGUGAGUGAUGACGGCCUUCGGGUCGUAAAGCUCUGUCUUCAAGGACGAUAAUGACGGUACUUGAGGAGGACGCCACGGCUAACUACGUGCCAGCAGCCGCGGUAAUACGUAGGGGGCGGGCGUUGUCCGGAGUUACUGGGCGUAAAGGGUGCGUAGGUGGGUUUUUAAGUGCGAUGGUAAAAGCUAAGGGUCAAAAUGAGUGCAGCAUUUGAAACUGGAAGACUAGAGUGCAGGAGAGGAGAAUGGAAUUCCUAGUGUAGCGGUGAAAUGCGUAGAGAUUAGGAAGAACACCAGUGGCGAAGGCGAUUCUCUGGACUGUAACUGACGCUGAGGCACGAAAGCGUGGGGAGCAAACAGGAUUAGAUACCCCAGUAGUC